rnacentral:tRNA from 1 species
GCCUUCGUAGCGCAGUGGACAGCGCGUCCGCCUCCGAAGCGGAAGGUCGCCGGUUCGAGUCCGGCCGAAGGCACCA